CUCAUGUUGUUCAUCCAUGAUAUAAUCUAGAAAACGGAACUGUAAGCACUGAGGUCUCCGCAGUCUCAAAGCUUUACAGGAAGAAGAUGAUCUUCCUCAUCCUGCAGCUCCUCUUCCUCACCUCCUGUGUCUCUGGAACAUUUGUAGUGAAUGUGACUCAGACUUUCUAUCAGGCAGAGGAGAACCAGAACAUCACCCUGGAGUGGACCUUCAGCACCAGAACAGACACUAACUUCAGCUCCAUUAAUACCAUCUGUCACCUGUUUAAUAAAAAGCGAAUCUCAGUUCUGUUUGAACUACGUGAAGGUGUUGAAACCAGAGUGUCUCAGGAUCCAGAGUUUACAGUACGACUCAAGUGGGAC